CUUGCUGGAUGCUGACGAGCGGCGGACGGGUGAGUAAUGCAUAGGAAUCUGCCCGAUAGUGGGGGAUAACCUGGGGAAACCCAGGCUAAUACCGCAUACGUCCUACGGGAGAAAGGGGGCUCCGGCUCCCGCUAUGGGAUGAGCCUAUGUCGGAUUAGCUAGUUGGUGAGGUAACGGCUCACCAAGGCCACGAUCCGUAGCUGGUCUGAGAGGAUGAUCAGCCACAUCGGGACUGAGACACGGCCCGAACUCCUACGGGAGGCAGCAGUGGGGAAUAUUGGACAAUGGGGGAAACCCUGAUCCAGCCAUGCCGCGUGUGUGAAGAAGGCCCUCGGGUUGUAAAGCACUUUCAGCGAGGAAGAACGCCUAGCGGUUAAUACCCGCUAGGAAAGACAUCACUCGCAGAAGAAGCACCGGCUAACUCCGUGCCAGCAGCCGCGGUAAUACGGAGGGUGCAAGCGUUAAUCGGAAUUACUGGGCGUAAAGCGCGCGUAGGUGGCUUGAUAAGCCGGUUGUGAAAGCCCCGGGCUCAACCUGGGAACGGCAUCCGGAACUGUCAAGCUAGAGUGCAGGAGAGGAAGGUAGAAUUCCCGGUGUAGCGGUGAAAUGCGUAGAGAUCGGGAGGAAUACCAGUGGCGAAGCGGGCUUCUGGACUGACACUGACACUG
rnacentral:rRNA from 1 species